rfam:Candidatus Synechococcus spongiarum 15L contig26, whole genome shotgun sequence.
UCCUCGGUAGCUCAGCGGUAGAGCGGUCGACUGUUAAUCGAUUGGUCACUGGUUCGAAUCCAGUCCGGGGAG